ACUGCAAAGUCAUGCUGUUAUUAUGGAUGACAAUACGUUGAAAUCAUACCUGCGUAUGGUGAUAGGUCGGCAAUUGCUUUCUGCAGGUCUCAAACUGAAGGUGAUCAGUCAAGCACUGAAAGUAAUCAGUGCUCAAAUGCAUUGAAUGAAUUAUGUGGGAAAUGGAAAAAAAAGCGAUCUGCUCUCCGCAGCUGUAAUUUCAAGGCUCGAAAUGCUUAUGCGGAAAGGACCAUAACAAGAUUGGAGCUAGGAUGGAUGGAUUAAAGCAACCAAUCCAUGUGUUAUAAGCAAAUGAGGCAACGAUGAGGAGGUGGUGUCCUCCAUCUCACGGUUGAGAAAACACUUUCUUUAAAGGCAGUCCUUCACCAUGCUUUAGAUGCAUUCUUUCCAUCCGGCGUUUCCCAACGAGGUAUUCUACAAGAGUUUGAAACAGAACUGAAAGACUUCCAAGGCAUGUGUGUCAAUAUGGAAAAGACAAUCAACGAACUCUAUAUUGAGUCAAAAUUAAAGAUACUUCGGGUAUACUUAUAUACCAAAAAGAAGACUGAAAAGUCUUCGUCAGAUGAGCUUGACCAGCACACUGUAGUGUCAUUGCCAGACACCUCCCUCGUCUGGUAUACAGUGCGAGUCGCACAGAUCAGAGACACUCCAAGCGUUUCGACAGGAGAACUGCUCAGAUGACAUUGAAUUAGGAACACCUACUGUGGUGACAAAUAGGCAGACGUACAUGUAGGCUUGUGGCGCAGCUGAUACGGCAGACAUAGAGUUUAUAGACAUAGACAUACCAGCUCCUCAUCAGAGAAGACAGUUUAGUUUGCGUAGAGUGUCUCCUUCAGCCACAGUAAUAUACAGUGAAACAGCUGAUAUGUCGGGUAGUAUCAACAACCACUCUAUAGAACCUGAUGCCGACACAGUAGAAGAUCAGUCUUCCAACCAGACAAAUGAUGUUAUGUCAGCGGAAGAGUAUUUUGAACAAGAUGACAUCCAGUUGGCCAUUGAAGAAAGUUUUUUAAGUAUUUGUAAUAGCAAUAAAGAAGAGAAAGACAGCUCACUGUUGAAGAAAUGGGUUGACAAAGCACUACAGCUCUCAGAGCCACAAACAAUAAUUGUUCAACGGGAGAGGCUGUUACAUACGACGUUAAGAGUUGUUGGUAAAUCUACUUUCAACUGGUCACAGCCGCUGCGAAUAGUAUUCCCUGGUGAAGAUGGAGAUGACUAAGGAGUUCCAAAGAGAGAAUAUCUCUGGUUGCUGAGCAAAGCUGUUGCAGAGGCUUCCUUGUGUGGUCCUGAGGGAUACAUGAUCUUCGUCCAUGAUGGUGAAAAACUUGAGCACAUGACAUUUGAAAUGUAUGGUAAAUUGACAGCAUACAAUGUCCUUAAUGGUGGACCAGGCCUACCAUGCUGUACUCCUUCAUGACUGACCAGGGCAUAAAACUCCAUGUAGACAUUCUUACGCUUCCCAGACCGAGGAAAUUUCUCACAUUAAGGAGAUCCUGGACAGCCCAGACGAUGAGGGAUUUAAGUCGGUUAUCGACAAACAUGCUGACUGGAUUAUUGAUCAAGGCUUACUUCCUACAAAAACAAAAUUGGAGAAGAAAGACAAAGUAGCUACAUACCUGCUGAAAAACAUACUUUACUACAGAUUCCAUGCUGAAAUUACCCAAUU
rnacentral:lncRNA from 1 species